GAAAUCCUCGGGCCACAUCCCCUCUGGGAGUGGGCCCCGGGCACAGCCUCAUCCCUAACAUUUGCAGGACCUGGAACUAGAGUACCACUGGAGAUUCAUAUACCUGAGUCUAAAUACUUAAAAUUCAAGCAAACAAACUGUUAAUUCAAGUAUUUUUCUAUUCUCCCAUCUUGACAAAUACAACUUUAUAAUAGCUUGAAAGUCCAGGUUCAAAUGUACAGUUCUUUGACUCUUUGGAGUUCCAAACUAGAGGUGGCAGUUGGAGGAGAGUCGGCUCUUGGCCUGCAGCCUUUCCCCCUUUCUCCUCUUCCCGCCUCUACUGCUCUUCCGCACCUGGAGCCUCAGGCACACAGGUGUGGGCACCCCAGCCUCCGCGUCUAGGAGCUAGUCACGCUUCCUACAAAGAGAGCCCUGGACUUCCCUGGUGGGCGCAGUGUUUAAGAACCAGCCUGCCAACGCGCCACAACUACGGAAGCCCGCGUGCCUAGAGCCCGUGCUCCACAACAAGAGAAGCCACCGCAAUGAGAAGCCCGCACACAGCAACGAAGAGUAGCCCCUGCUCGCCGCAACUAGAGAAGCCUGUGCGCAGCAACGAAGACCCAACGCACCCAAAAAAUAAAUUUUAAAAAUUUUAAAAAGGAAAGAAAAGGAAGAACCCUCUGGAGAAAUCACCUGUGACAUUCUUUUUUUUUUUUUUUUAAUAAUCAUUUAUAUUUCUUUGGCACUUUAUUUAUUUAGCGGUACGCGGGCCUCUCACUGUUGUGGCCUCUCCCGUUGCAGAGCACAGGCUCCGGACGCGCAGGCUCAGCGGCCAUGGCUCACGGGCCUAGCAGCUCCGCGGCAUGUGGGAUCUUCCCGGACUGGGGCACGAACCCGUGUCCCCUGCAUCGGCAGGCGGACUCGGCGAACUCUCAACCACUGCGCCACCAGGGAAGCCCCGUGACAUUCUUUAAAAAAAGAAAAAAAAGAGCCCUUGGCCGCUCCUCUGGCUUAGGGGCCCACACACCAGCAAGACAGUCAAUAUUCAGAAGAAUGGACUCAGGAAGAGUCCCGGGAAGGCCUGGGAAGUUGACUCAGAGUAUAGGGGCCGGAAAUUUCAGAGUCCCCCUGGAAUAAGGUGGAGAGGUUGGGCCACGGGCUUUGGGUGGGCUCAUCCCUUGGGCUCUGGGGACUUGCCACUAAGCAGGGUCUUCUAAAGCAGAGCCCAGGGCAGGGGUUCCUCCUACAUUGGUCUUAGGGCAGAACUAUCUGAGCACCUGUCCUCUUUUUUUUUUUCUUUUUUUUUGCGGUACGCGGGCCUCUCACCGCCGCGGCCUCUCCCAUUGCAGAGCACAGGCUCCGGACGCGCAGGCUCAGCGGCCAUGGCUCACGGGCCCAGCCUCUCCGCGGCACGUGGGAUCCUCCCGGACCGGGGCACGAACCCGCGUCCCCUGCAUCGGCAGGCGAACUCCCAACCACUACACCACCAGGGAAGCCCCCCGUCCUUUUUUUAUUGUUAACUUUUGAUGGAUGUUCAUACAUACAGAUAGGAAAGUACACAAGUUGUAGGUAUACAGCUUGAUGAAUUUUUACAAAUACAUUGAUCAAGGAUGUAUGCAUUUAUCAUAAAAAUUAUGUUGUAUUUUAUAUUUAAAAAACUUUCCUUAGGUAAGAAGUGGAUUUAUUUAGAGAGAUACACAUUCCAUAGACAGAAUUCAGUCCAUCUCAAAAGGUGAGAACAGCCUUGGGAAAAACACACUCCACAGACAGAGUUUGGGCCAUCUCAGAAGGUGAGAGGUCAAAAAUUAUUUUUUAAAAGGGAGUAACAAUAAAAAGAGAAGAAUAUUGAACACAAAAUUUAUUUAUUUAAUUAUUGGCCACGCUGCAGCUUGUGGGAAUUAGUUUCCUGAUCAGGGAUCAGACCCAGGGCCCCAGCAGCGGAAACGCACAGUCCUAACCACUGGACUGCCAGAGAAUUCCCUGAAUACAAAAUUUAGAAUAGUGGUUUCCUCUGGUGGGGACUCAGGGGAUGGGACAGAGAAGGACACAUUAUCAGUAAUGUUCUAAUUCCUAAAUUGAGCAGCAAGUUCACAGUUUAUUAUGCUUCUUGAUAUAUGUUUUCUUUUGUACAUCCUAAAAUCAACUCAAAGUCCUGCAGUCUGGGGGCAUUCUGCUUAAAGACAAAUUAACGCUGCAUAAUUCAAAGGCUCCUGGGAGCAUUCCUGUAAUUGAUCAUCUUGACUCAUCUGAAAACAAAACAAGUCUCUAUGAAGAAAGGAAAAAGGAAAGCAUAUGAAACAUUGUAAGACAAUUCAAGGUAAGGUUAUUUUUUAUCUUUUUUUUUUUACUGAUAAUAAAUAUGCAUGACAUAAUACAUAAAAUUUAAGCACUAUAUAAACCCAGAGCAAGAGAAGUAAACUCUCCCUAAAAUGCUCUCUUCUGCAGAGUCAAGACCAUCAACAACAUGGUGUGUAUUCCUCAACCUUUUCUAUAAGUACUAACAUUAUUGAUUUUUGCAAAAAUGGGACCAUUUUAGAGAAACGCUUCUGAACCUUGCUUUUUCACUUAGCAAUAGUCUCUUGAACAGCCUUUUCCCUCAUAAUGUCCUUCAGAGAGAAGGGCAGAUGGAUUUCCCCACAAAUCCCCACCACACUCAUCUCCCUAAAUCCAGCUCAAAUAUCACCUCCCUGAAUUCAUAGGGGGCCAGGGGCCAGGGACACCAUUGAUCUACUAAUCUGCCCCGGGAAAUAUCAUGCCCUAGGGAAUUUAGUCUCCCUUAUCACUAAAUCCAACUGUGUGUGUGUGUGGGGGGGGGUAGCCUCAUUUAUGUGAACAUAAAUGAGUUCUUAUAAAUGAGGAUAUCAUAUAUCCAUUCAUUUAACCAAAAUUUACGGAGUGCCUACCAUGUGCCAGUCAGGGGUGAAGUGGACAGAGAUCUCUCUCUUGUGGCACUCUUAUUCUAAAGGGGGCAUUCAGCAAAUCAGGAAACAAAUGAGACUUUUUUUUUUUUUUUUUUGGCCAUCCCGGGGACUUGCGGGAUCUUAGUUCCCCGACCAGGGAUCGAACCUGAGUCCCCUGCAUUGAGAGCGCAGAGUCUUAACCGCUGGACCACCAGGAAAGUCCCCAUGUUUUUGUUUGUUUGUUUGUUUUGCCAAUAAGACUAUAUCUGAUGGAGGUAAGCGUGGAGAUGAAAACCAGGUGUGUGAUGUGACAGAGAACGGCCAUUCAGGGGGAGGCACCAAACAUUCUCUACUGUGGCUGAUAUUCCCAGGCAGGAGUGAAAGAAGAUAUCCAUCAGACAACUAUGAACUUCUGUCCCAUUACCUGGCCGCGCAGCCUGUGGCCUCUUGUGCUCACGGCGACCACGAAGGGAUCCGGAGUGGACUUCUCUCCUUCACCUGAACUCUACGAGGAACUGGAGCCUUGGUACCAGCAGAGGCCCCUGGCACUCGUCUGCCUCCUUGGAGAGUCCAGAUGAAUUUGGCAAAGGAGGAUAAAAAAUCAGAAGUGAUUAUAGCUCCCUUUAAGGAGAAGCCUAUUGCAGGGAGAAGUGAACCAUCCUCUCUGCUUACGUACACACCCUGGACCCAAGCAGAACUUAGAGCCUUGGCUAAGGAAUUUCCUGAUCUAAGUCAGAAUCCAUUGGGAUUUGCUAAGGAAUUUGAGUUAACCGUCUGGACCUACAUGCCUGGGUUUUCAGAUCUAUAACAAUUAGUAUUUACUUAACUGGAAAUUAAAGGAAAUCUCACCCUAAGAAUGAGGAGGCUCUUUUAUUGCAUACACAGUUCAAUUAAGGUUAAAAAGCUGGCUUGGGCUUCCCUGGUGGCUCAGUGGUUAAGAAUCCACCUGCCAAUGCAGGGGACAUGGAUUCAAGCCCUGGUCCGGGAAGAUCCCACAUGCCGCAGAGCAACUAAGCCCGUGCACCACAACUACUGAGCCUGCGCUCUAGAGCCCGCGAGCCACAACUACUGAGCCCACGUGCCACAACUAUUGAAGUCCGUGCGCCUAGAGCCCGUGCUCUGCAACAAGAGAAGCCACCGAAAUGAGAAGCCCACACACCACAACGAAGAGUAGCCCCCGCUCGCCACAACCAGAGAAAGCCGGCGUGCAGCAAUGAAGACCCAAUGCAGCCAAAAAUAAAUAAAUAAAUUUA